UAUUGAUACGAGCAAAGUGAGUAGUAUGACUGUAGAAAUCAAAAAUGAAAAAUCUUAACUCAUUGCAUUGCACCUAUAGCUGAAGGUGGCGCCAUCCAAAUUCCGUUGGACAAUGUUUCAUGGGCUUCCAUGGAUUCUAACAAGAAAACAAGCCUUUAAUCCCCUGAAGAAGGUUUAAAAUAAACCGAAACCGUCGGAAGUUGAGGCAAACUUGUUUUCGCUGCUGUCACCGACUGCAAAAGCCGAGAGAAUCCCCGUAUCCGUCCAAGCCUACAGUCGAUAAGCAAUCAGAUUAAACCCCCGAUGGCUAACAACUCCAGCGCCCCCUUCUUUGACAACAUAGAGAGAUGUUAUGGGAUGAGAGCAAAACGUAUGCUCAAAGACUACGCCAACAUAAACAGGAAACUUGGCAACAUGACUAGUCGAAAAUCCUUCCUAGUCAGAUGUCGCCGUAGAGGAGUAUUUCCGGCACAUUUUUCGAAUAGUUUUCGCUUCACAUUCCCGUUAAUGGAAGAAAACAGUCCGUUCACGAACAAAAUACAAAACAGCGUAACCCGGUUCAAGAAAUCAAUCCUGAACAUCGAAAUCAAGCAUACCUACUACAAAAUCAAAGGCCUACAAUCAAAUCUAGCGGGCCUAUCAGAAGACAUCCAAAGGUCCAACAUCCCAGCGCACAUAUCAGUCACCUUCUUCGAAAGCCAAAGAGAGUACAGCGAGGGAAACGUGAGGACAAGCACGGCCCGAACAAAACGCAAGUUCGCUAGGAUCACCGCCCAAAACCAGCGUGAAACCAAAAGCGAAGACCUACCAAUCAACAACGCAAAAGCCAUUCAUAACGGUACCCAAGUCCCGGUCCCGCCAGAGACCGAAACCCUACUCAGUCUCGGCCCAAAGUUUGCCCUACCGAUCACUGAAACACGACGAGUUCCUUACCACCAUCUGAUGGCUGACGUGGAACUGGUAAUAAAGUCCAAUCCGAAUGAAGCAACCCAAGAUCGGACAAGAUGCGCAGUCGCCAAUGCAAUUACCAACCACAUACACCGUUUCAACAACCAAAACACGCAUUUCGAUCCGUUGGUGAGGUUCUGCAGCACCGCUGAAGACAUCACGAGGAAAUUCCUGAAAGAGAACCCCAACGUGCUCGUAUUAAAAUCGGAUAAAGGAAACAAAACCGUACUGAUGGAUGCUGAAGAAUACAAGCAGAAGAUGAAGGAACUGCUACAAGACAACCAAACGUAUAAACCGAUAGACAAAGACCCAACCCUCCGGUUUGAACGGCAAAACAACUCGUUAGUGAAACGUCUGCGAAAUCUGGACCUCAUCGAUGAUCGAACGGCCAAGGAGCUAACCAAAUACAACGCCGUUUGCCCCAGGAUAUAUGGCCAACCCAAAGCCCACAAGCCAGGAUUGCCACUCCGCCCGGUGGUGCCGAAUGUGACUGCCCCAUCGUACAACUUGUCAAAAUACGUAGGGAAAAUUCUGCAGCAAUCACUGGUAAGCUCCUACAACGUCCAAGAUUCAUUCACAUUUUGUGAAUUUAUCAAUGGUGUCACUCUCCCCGACAAUCACGUCCUCAUCUCACUCGACGUUAAAGCUCUAUUCACCUCAAUACCAAAACCCCUGGUGAUUAACAGCAUAAUCAUGAGAUGGGACGAAAUCAGGCCUAACACAAAUAUAUGCCUAGACCUAUUCCUUGAAAUAGUCGGUUUCUGCAUCGACUCUAGCUAUUUCAAAUUUGACGGCCAGCACUAUGCGCAGAUAUUUGGAACUGCCAUGGGAAACCCACUCUCUUCCCACAUUGCUGAUUGGGUAAUGGAAGCCUUGCUAGACAAUGUAUUACGGUCGCUAAACAUUCCCCUACCGUUCCUCAAGAAGUUCGUCGACGACUUAGUUACGGCUAUCCCGCUGGAUCAACUCCAGCACGUACUGGACGUGUUCAACAGCUACGACAUCCACAUUCAGUUCACACACGAACUGGAAGUAGACAACCAGCUACCCUAUCUGGAUAUGCUGCUAAUCCGGCAGAAUAACCAGACGGUAAAAACUCAAUGGUACCAGAAACCAAUUGCCAGCGGUAGAUUCCUAAACUACCUGUCAUUCCACCCACUAAAACAGAAGCUCAACAUGGCCAAAAAUUUCGCGAAACGAGUCCACCUUCUGUCCACAGAUCUCGACAUGCAAGCAAAGCAGGUCAUCGUAGAGGAUAAUCUAAAGCUGAAUGGAUAUCCCACAUCCCUACGAAAGAGGAUCGCCAAUCGCAUGAAUGAACGUGAAAACAGCAGCACAGUCGGGACUCAACCAAUCCAGCAUGCCAUAGGGAGUCAACCGACUGAAGAACACCUAGAGCAUACCUACCGAUCAAUACCAUACAUAAAACACCUGUCCGAAAGGGUGGACAGGGCGAUAGGACGAGAAUAUCCCAACAUAAAACUCGCCAAAUACAACAUCAACACGGUCGGCAACUUGUUCUCAAGAAUCAAAGAUCCUAUUGCACUCGAUGAUCAAAACAAUGUUGUGUACCACAUACCAUGUUCCAACUGCCCAGCAUGCUACAUUGGAAUGACUAAAAACCGUCUGAAAACCAGAAUAAGCGGCCAUCGAACACUGUACAACACUAUGGACAGGCUUCUCGAGCAAGGCGCAGACAACACGGAUCCACGAAUGGCAUCGCUUAGUGAGAGAACGGCGUUAAUGCAGCACAGCAUACAAGAAAAUCACAGGUUCGAUCUGAAACAGGUCAAAAUUUUAGAAAAGGUAAACAAAACACAAAAUCUGCAAUUCCUAGAGAUGUGUCACAUCGCUCGAAACAGACACAGCAUUAACAGACGAACCGAUACUGAUGGGCUACAUGCAAUCUACGCAGGUAUAUUACACGAAAUAGAAAAAGCUAGCAAAACACGAAUUGCAAAUGAAAUAGGAAAUGUAGAAAAUGAUAACAACACACAAACACCACCACACACCUCAAUGUAAAUAUCCAAAGAUUGUUAAACACGACACCAUAUUAUAUCACCACACCAACACCAUCAUGCAAAGUUGCGUAGGUAUCCGCCAUAGCAAGUAUCGAUAAAAGUGUAGGCGAGCAAAAUCUAAAAAGUUCAGCUAAAAGCGAAGCAAAAAUAAGCUCAAAAGCUAAGGGAACAGUUUAUACCACUACAGCGUCUAGCAAACGUAUUGAUACGAGCAAAGUGAGUAGUAUGACUGUAGAAAUCAAAAAUGAAAAAUCUUAACUCAUUGCAUUGCACCUAUAGCUGAAGGUGGCGCCAUCCAAAUUCCGUUGGACAAUGUUUCAUGGGCUUCCAUGGAUUCUAACAAGAAAACAAGCCUUUAAUCCCCUGAAGAAGGUUUAAAAUAAACCGAAACCGUCGGAAGUUGAGGCAAACUUGUUUUCGCUGCUGUCACCGACUGCAAAAGCCGAGAGAAUCCCCGUAUCCGGAAGAG